GACAGAGGGUGCGAGCGUUGUCCGGAGUCACUGGGCGUAAAGCGCGCGCAGGCGGCAACCUAAGUGUCGUGUGAAAGCCCCCGGCUCAACCGGGGGAGGCCAUGGCAAACUGGGUCGCUCGAGCUGCGGAGAGGCCCCUCGAAUUGCCGGUGUAGCGGUGAAAUGCGUAGAGAUCGGCAGGAAGACCAAGGGGGAAGCCAGGGGGCUGGCCGCUGGCUGACGCUGAGGCGCGACAGCGUGGGGAGCGAACCGG
rnacentral:rRNA from 1 species